rnacentral:rRNA from 1 species
ACGAACGCUGGCGGCGUGCUUAACACAUGCAAGUCGAACGGAAAGGCGCUGCCUUUGUGGGGUGCUCGAGUGGCGAACGGGUGAGUAACACGUGAGUAACCUGCCCUUGACUUUGGGAUAACUUCAGGAAACUGGGGCUAAUCCCGGAUAGGAGCUCCUGCUGCAUGGUGGGGGUUGGAAAGUUUCGGCGGUUGGGGAUGGACUCGCGGCUUAUCAGCUUGUUGGUGGGGUAGUGGCUUACCAAGGCAUUGACGGGUAGCCGGCCUGAGAGGGUGAACGGCCACAUUGGGACUAAGAUACGGCCCAGACUCCUACGGGAGGCAGAAGGGGGGAAUAUUGCACAAUGGGCGGAAGCCUGAUGCAGCAACGCCGCGUGCGGGAUGACGGCCUUCGGGUUGUAAACCGCUUUCGCCUGUGACGAAGCGUGAGUGACGGUAAUGGGUAAAGAAGCACCGGCUAACUACGUG